rnacentral:rRNA from 1 species
GACGAACGCUGGCGGCGUGCCUAAUACAUGCAAGUCGAACGCAGUGGGGCCUGGUGAGUAACACGUGGGUAACCUCCCAUCAGAGGGGAUAACACUUGGCAACAGGUGCUAAACCGGUACUGCUAGAUGGACCCGCGGUGCAUUAGCUAGUUGGUGAGGUAACGGCUCACCAAGGCAACGAUCCAUAGCCGACCUGAGAGGGUGAUCAGCCACACUGGGACUGAUACACGGCCCAGACUCCUACGGGAGGCAGCAGUAGGGAAUCUUGGGCAAUGGGCGAAAGCCUGACCGAGCAACGCCGCGUGAGUGAAGAAGGUCUUCGGAUCGUAAAACUCUGUUGGUAGAGAAGCGGUAUCUACCCAGAAAGCAACGGCUAACUACGUGCCAGCAGCCGCGGUAAUUC